GGUUUAGAUGCUAAGAGGUAUAUUUUGUAUUUGGGCACUUUGAAAUAUACUGAGCUAGUAGUGCAACCGGCUAAAUA
rnacentral:ncRNA from 1 species